rnacentral:rRNA from 1 species
CCUGAACGCUGGCGGCGUGGCUAAGACAUGCAAGUCGCACGGGCCUAGCAAUAGGUCAGUGGCGAACGGGUGAGUAAAGAAUCGCUAACGUACCCCGGACUCUGGGAUAGCUACCCGAAAGGGUAGGUAAUACCAGAUGAUAUAACCGCUCUGCAUGGAGUGGUUCUCAAAGGUCCGCCGGUCUGGGAGCGGGCGAUUUCGUAUCAGCUAGUUGGUGAGGUAACGGCUCACCAAGGCGACGACGCGUAGCCGGACUGAGAGGUUGGCCGGCCACAUUGGGACUGAGACACUGCCCAGACUCCUACGGGGGGCUNCAGUAACGGAAUCUUCCGCAAUGCACGCAAGUGUGACGGAGCGACGCCGCGUGUGGGACGAAGCC